GACCAAUUAACAGAUUGACCAUAAAAAGAACAUAUUAACAGCCACGACAGGCACAUGGAGAAGCUGCAACAGAGGAGGAGGUGAUGCUGUGUUCACCUGAGCCUCGCUGUGAAGAAACAUUAUCCAUUUAGACAGCAGGCAACAGCAGCACAUUUGCUGCU